UACGUAGGGUGCGAGCGUUAAUCGGAAUUACUGGGCGUAAAGCGUGCGUAGGCGGUCCGCGAAGUCUGAUGUGAAAGCCCCGGGCUCAACCUGGGAACUGCAUUGGAAACUAACGGGCUCGAGUGUGGCAGAGGGGGGUGGAAUUCCACGUGUAGCAGUGAAAUGCGUAGAGAUCGGGAGGAACACCAGCGGCGAAGGCGGCGACCUGGACAGUUACUGACACUCAACUACGAAAGCGUGGGGAGCAAACAGG
rnacentral:rRNA from 1 species